AUUGAACGCUGGCGGCAGGCUUAACACAUGCAAGUCGAGCGGAGAUGAGGAGCUUGCACCUUAUCUUAGCGGCGGACGGGUGAGUAAUGCUUAGGAAUCUGCCUAUUAGUGGGGGACAACAUUCCGAAAGGAAUGCUAAUACCGCAUACGCCCUACGGGGGAAAGCAGGGGAUCUUCGGACCUUGCGCUAAUAGAUGAGCCUAAGUCGGAUUAGCUAGUUGGUGGGGUAAAGGCCUACCAAGGCGACGAUCUGUAGCGGGUCUGAGAGGAUGAUCCGCCACACUGGGACUGAGACACGGGCCAGACUCCUACGGGGGGCAGCAGUGGGGAAUAUUGGACAAUGGGCGGAAGCCUGAUCCAGCCAUGCCGCGUGUGUGAAGAAGGCCUUUUGGUUGUAAAGCACUUUAAGCGAGGAGGAGGCUACCUGGAUUAAUACUCUAGGAUAGUGGACGUUACUCGCAGAAUAAGCACCGGCUAACUCCGUGCCAGCCGCCGCCGUAACAC
rnacentral:rRNA from 1 species